UACGGGGGGGGCAAGCGUUGUUCGGAAUUACUGGGCGUAAAGGGCUCGUAGGCGGCCAACUAAGUCAUACGUGAAAUCCCUCGGCUUAACCGGGGAACUGCGUCUGAUACUGGAUGGCUUGAGAUUGGGAGAGGGAUGCGGAAUUCCUGGUGUGAGCGGUGGAAAUACGGCAGAUAUCAGGAGGAACACCGGUGGCGAAGGCGGCUUGCUGGGCCAGUUCUGACGCUGGAGGAGCGAAAGCCGUGGGGAGCGAACAGG
rnacentral:rRNA from 1 species